rnacentral:lncRNA from 1 species
UCUGACAUUCCAAAUUCGUUCUCAUUUUUCACCAUAUUUAUCCAUUCUUUGAGCUAACUUUGUGGAAAAAUGGAAUUCUUGGUGAUUAACAUCCUAGGAUCAAUACAUCAGCCUUUGAACAGAGCUUUCAUCUUCCAUCAGUGAUCUUGAAUACAAAUCAUGAACAAAAUUAGGUUCAAAUAUUUAGAGUGUGUUUACUUUGAUGGAUAAAUUUACCAUGAAAAAAUGAGGGAUAACAAUAAUUUAUGCCUUUAAAUACCUCCUUUCUUUUCCCACAUUUUAUACAAAAAAGAAAUUGAUCAUUUCUCCUUCCUUAUUUUCACUUCAAGGAGGGAUAAUAUUAUCCUUUCAUUUUAAGGUAUAAUGAUCGAUUUGUAUUUAAUAUUUAUGUUUCUCUAGGAAAAGAAAGUACUAGUUUAUUUUUUUUAGAAAAAGGAUAGUGCACAAAGCUGGCCUUGGAUGCUCGAAAAAUGCCAUAUUUAAGUUAUAUUUUUCUUAUUUUUGUUCCUGGUCCUUCCUUAACUUGAAAUGUUUGUCAUGGCGAAUUGAGGAGGGCUCCUGCCUCUUUACUUAAGAUUUUUUUUUCCAACUUUGUCACAAGCAUGCUGUCACUUCACUUUUUUCCCUCUUAAUCUGUGUUCUAAUAUAUAUCUUUCUCCAAUUUCUAAUAUUUGAUUUACAUAUCAUGUGUGCUACCAUGCAAACUCUGUGCCGAUUGACGUAAUUUAAGCAAGGUAAAGACAAUCUUUUGAGAAUUGAGAAGAGAUGAAUAACCAGUUAUGGACAAGGUUCAAUUAACAUGUAGAGUUCUCUUCAUAACAUAUAAAUGUAAUUUCUUUCAUAUUUAAUUCAUACAGUAUGUAUAUAUCAUUCCAUAUCAGAAGACUGGACAAAAAACUAUCCAAAGUCUCAGAAAUGCAUGCACUUAGUGUUCUAGAAGCUACAAAUAUGUAAAUUAACAAGAAGAAAAAAAUCAAGCAAUAAAGAAUUAAGGAAAAGAAAAAGGUAGUUAUGCAACAUGUUCCCCUACGCAUUUCGUUUGCUGCGCCA